UACGUAGGGUGCAAGCGUUGUCCGGAAUUAUUGGGCGUAAAGAGCGUGUAGGCGGCCAGGUAGGUCUGCUGUGAAAACUCGAGGCUCAACCUCGAGAUGUCGGCGGAAACCAUCUGGCUAGAGUCCGGAAGAGGAGAGUGGAAUUCCUGGUGUAGCGGUGAAAUGCGCAGAUAUCAGGAAGAACACCCGUGGCGAAGGCGGCUCUCUGGGACGGUACUGACGCUGAGACGCGAAAGCGUGGGGAGCGAACAGG
rnacentral:rRNA from 1 species